AUUGAACGCUGGCGGAAUGCUUUACACAUGCAAGUCGAACGGCAGCACGGGGGCAGCCCUGGUGGCGAGUGGCGAACGGGUGAGUAAUACAUCGGAACGUGCCCGGUCGUGGGGGAUAACGUAGCGAAAGUUACGCUAAUACCGCAUACGAUCUGAGGAUGAAAGCGGGGGACCUUCGGGCCUCGCGCGAUCGGAGCGGCCGAUGUCAGAUUAGGUAGUUGGUGGGGUAAAGGCCUACCAAGCCGACGAUCUGUAGCUGGUCUGAGAGGACGACCAGCCACACUGGGACUGAGACACGGCCCAGACUCCUACGGGAGGCAGCAGUGGGGAAUUUUGGACAAUGGGCGCAAGCCUGAUCCAGCCAUUCCGCGUGCAGGACGAAGGCCUUCGGGUUGUAAACUGCUUUUGUACGGAACGAAAAGGCUCUGGCUAAUACCUGGGGCCCAUGACGGUACCGUAAGAAUAAGCACCGGCUAGCUACGUG
rnacentral:rRNA from 1 species